UACAGAGGUCUCAAGCGUUGUUCGGAUUCAUUGGGCGUAAAGGGUGCGUAGGCGGCGCGGUAAGUCGGGUGUGAAAUCUCGGGGCUUAACUCCGAAACUGCAUUCGAUACUGCCGUGCUUGAGGACUGGAGAGGAGACUGGAAUUUACGGUGUAGCGGUGAAAUGCGUAGAUAUCGUAAGGAAGACCAGUGGCGAAGGCGGGUCUCUGGACAGUUCCUGACGCUGAUGCACGAAAGCUAGGGGAGCAAACAGG
rnacentral:rRNA from 1 species